rnacentral:rRNA from 1 species
GACGAACGCUGGCGGCGUGCUUAACACAUGCAAGUCGAACGGAAAGGCCCUGCUUUUGUGGGGUGCUCGAGUGGCGAACGGGUGAGUAACACGUGAGUAACCUGUCCUUGACUUUGGGAUAACUUCAGGAAACUGGGGCUAAUACCGGAUAGGAGCUCCUGCUGCAUGGUGGGGGUUGGAAAGUUUCGGCGGUUGGGGAUGGACUCGCGGCUUAUCAGCUUGUUGGUGGGGUAGUGGCUUACCAAGGCUUUGACGGGUAGCCGGCCUGAGAGGGUGACCGGCCACAUUGGGACUGAGAUAAGGCCCAGAUUCCUACGGGAGGCAGCAGUGGGGAAUAGUGCACAAUGGGCGGAAGCCUGAUGCAGCAACGCCGCGUGCGGGAUGACGGCCUUCGGGUUGUAAACCGCUUUCGCCUGUGACGAAGCGUGAGUGACGGUAAUGGGUAAAGAAGCACCGGCUAACUACGUG